CUCAUCUGUACAUUCACUGGUUUUAUAUAUCUGCAAAGCUAUAUUCCUGCAGCCUUGAUCCAUGCCGCUCUUUGAGUUCUGAUCUCCCUCAUCUCACUCAUGGAGACCUUCUCUUCAAGGCUUCUGCUACCAGUCUUCUUCACCUCACUCCUGCUGCUUUCCUCUCUGAAAACUGCUACUGCGGCAGGUAACCAACUAAACUUUCAACCUUCAUGAACGAGAAGGUGCCUAUUGCCAACUAGUUUGCUGGUGAAAUCUUUGGGUGAU
rnacentral:lncRNA from 1 species